rnacentral:rRNA from 1 species
CCUACGGGAGGCUGCAGUGGGGAAUAUUGCACAAUGGGGGAAACCCUGAUGCAGCAACGCCGCGUGAGUGAAGAAGGUUUUCGGAUUGUAAAGCUCUGUUAGCAGGGAAGAGGAAGGACGGUACCUGCAGAGGAAGCCACGGCUAACUACGUGCCAGCAGCCGCGGUAAUACGUAGGUGGCAAGCGUUGUUCGGAAUAACUGGGCGUAAAGGGAGCGUAGACGGCUGAGCAAGCCUGAAGUGAAAGGCGGGGGCCCAACCCCCGGACUGCUUUGGGAACUGUACGGCUGGAGUGCAGGAGAGGUAAGUGGAAUUCCUAGUGUAGCGGUGAAAUGCGUAGAUAUUAGGAGGAACACCAGUGGCGAAGGCGGCUUACUGGACUGUAACUGACGUUGAGGCUCGAAAGCGUGGGGAGCAAACAGGAUUAGAUACCCCUGUAGUC